rnacentral:lncRNA from 1 species
GAAAUUAGGCUUGUCACUUUUGAAGGAGCCAUAUUAAGAAUUUUUGAAAAGGGUUAAGCCAGUGGCUCAUCAAAGCAGAAAACAGAGCGGAGAGUGGGGACCCAGUCACCCGGGGUCCCCGGGGUCCAGCUCUGAAUUGCAAAUGUCCUUCUCGAGUCCCUCUGGCGGAGUUGGUGGGUGGCCUGACAAUGCCACGUCAUUAUCGACAGUUGGAAUCUUCUUG